rnacentral:rRNA from 1 species
UACAGAGGUCCCAAGCGUUGUUCGGAUUCACUGGGCGUAAAGGGCGCGUAGGCGGCCUGAUAAGUAGGGGGUGAAAUCCUGCGGCUUAACCGCAGGGCUGCCUUCUAAACUGUCAGGCUCGAGCACAGUAGAGGCAGGUGGAAUUCCCGGUGUAGCGGUGAAAUGCGUAGAUAUCUGGAGGAACACCGGUGGCGAAGGCGGCAUCCUGGACCGGCAUUGACGCUGAGGCGCGAAAGCCAGGGGAGCAAAGCGGG